CCUACGGGUGGCUGCAGUGAGGAAUAUUGGUCAAUGGACGAGAGUCUGAACCAGCCAAGUAGCGUGCAGGAUGACUGCCCUAUGGGUUGUAAACUUCUUUUAUAUGGGAAUAAAAUGUUCCACGUGUGGGAUUUUGUAUGUACCAUAUGAAUAAGGAUCGGCUAACUCCGUGCCAGCAGCCGCGGUAAUACGGAGGAUCCGAGCGUUAUCCGGAUUUAUUGGGCUUAAAGGGAGCGUAGGUGGAUUUGUAAGUCAGUUGUGAAAGUUUGCGGCUUAACCGUAAAAUUGCAGUUGAAACUGGCAGUCUAGAGUACAGUAGAGGUGGGCGGAAUUCGUGGUGUAGCGGUGAAAUGCGUAGAUAUCAAGAAGAACUCCGAUUGCGAAGGCAGCUUACUGGACUGCAACUGACACUGAGGCUCGAAAGUGUGGGUAUCAAACAGGAUUAGAUACCCCAGUAGUC
rnacentral:rRNA from 1 species